GCAAUUAUCCACCUGCAACUCCAAUGAAUUCAUGACAAACACAUAACAAUAUUAAUCUUUAUUAGUUGUUCCUCAUGAUAUGACCCAAUUUAGAUGAAAACCAUAAUUAUCAAAAUAAUAUGACCCAAAUUAGAUGAAACUCAUAUUGAUUUCAGCAUCAAUUUCCAAAAUAUAUUAACCUAAAGUCAAAUCUGCCUAACCUCAUGGGUUCACAUAAAGGGAACAGGAGGAGUUUUUUGUGGAGAGAAAUUUGUAGCAAAAUGGGUACUGGUUCAUCGAAGAAUCCAGAUAGUAUUUCACAUGGAAGCAGCGAAGAUAGAGAAGAUCACGGAGGAGGACAGCUUUACGUUUCUCUCAAAAUGGAAAAAUAUAAACCUAAAGGCGAACUUAUUCCUCAUGUUUAUGGUUCAGUUCCGCUUAUUGGUUCAUGGGAUUCUUCUAAAGCUCUUCCGAUGGAGCGCGAAUCAACUUCUAUGUGGGAACUGAGUUUCGUUGUUCCUCCUAAUCACGAGACAUUGGACUUUAAGUUCCUCUUGAAGCCAAAAUACAACAACCCUGAGCCGUGUAUAGUGGAGGAGGGCCCAAACCGUGUACUAAUUGCUGGAACGUUACAAGGGGAUGGGCGUUCAGCCUUGUUUAAGCGGGAUAAUGAUGAGAUUAUCGAAUAUAGAGUAUUUGUUAAAGCAGACAGAGUUUCGCCAUUUAAUCUUGCGGCUAGUUGGAGAGCCUUUCAGGAAAAUCGCAGGCUUUCCACUGUUCGGGGGGUACCAGAUAUUAGCAUAAAUUCGACACCAGCGAUGGGUGCAGAGCAUGGCUCUUCAGCAAGUCUAGAGCUUGAUCUUGAACAUUAUGUUGUGCCCGCUCCAACACAAUCUGCAACAGUUUACGCAGCUAACUUGACAGAAACUCCUAGGUCACUAAAACUUUCAGGUGUAUUUUCUGGGACAGAUGGCACUACCAUUCCAAGACCUUCCUCAAAAGAUGGUCACACUUCAAAUGAUCGGUCUGCUACAAUAAAGCAAAUGGAAGUAAUUGUCCCGGAUCCAACUAGAGUGCCCUCAGGGUCUGGCACGGUUGAAUCCAAGUCCAUGGGAACGUUCUCAUCUUUGCAAAAGCAAGAUAGUUACAGGGGACUCCUUGUAGAUAGGGGUGUGGGAUCUCCAAGACUACUCAAAUCACCCAGUACAACCAGUUUUACUCUUGAUCUCAAGCCUGAUUCAGAUGCCAAGAAUAUGAUGCCAGCUGCUGCAGGAGCGGUUGCAGCUGGAGCUGUAGCUGAUCAGAUGCUUGGGCCAAAGGAAGACAGGCAUCUAGCAAUUGUUCUGGUUGGCUUGCCAGCUCGUGGUAAAACUUUUACUGCCGCUAAGCUUACUAGGUAUCUUCGAUGGCUAGGUCAUGACACCAAGCACUUCAAUGUUGGGAAGUACCGCCGGCUCAAGCACGGAAGUAAUCAGACUGCUGAUUUCUUCCGAGCUGACAAUCCGGAAGGCUUGGAGGCUCGCAAUGAGGUAGCAGCCCUUGCAAUGGAAGACAUGAUCGCGUGGAUGCAAGAGGGUGGUCAGGUAGGAAUUUUUGAUGCCACAAAUAGCUCAAGGAAAAGAAGGAAUAUGCUUAUGAAAAUGGCUGAGGGAAAAUGCAAGAUAAUUUUCUUAGAAACAAUCUGUAAUGAUCCUAAACUAAUUGAAAGAAACAUACGCCUGAAAGUUCAACAAAGCCCAGACUAUGCUGAAGAGCCAGAUUUUGAAGCUGGAUACAGGGACUUCAAGAAUCGCCUUGAUAAUUAUGAAAAAGUUUAUGAGCCAGUGGAGGAAGGUUCUUAUAUCAAAAUGAUUGAUAUGGUCAGUGGUCAUGGAGGACAAAUACAAGUGAAUAAUAUCAGUGGCUAUCUUCCUGGGAGGAUUGUCUUCUUCUUGGUCAAUACACAUCUCACACCCCGUCCAAUUUUUCUAACAAGGCAUGGAGAAAGUCUAUACAAUGUUAGAGGCAGAAUUGGUGGUGACACUGCCAUAAGUGAAACUGGGGAGGUCUAUGCGAAGAAGCUUGCCAAUUUUGUUGAAAAACGACUGAAGAAAGAAAAGGCAGCUUCUAUAUGGACCAGUACAUUGCAAAGAACAAUUUUGACAGCUGGUCCAAUUGCUGGGUUUCCCAAGAUACAAUGGCGAGCCCUUGAUGAAAUAAAUUCUGGCAUAUGUGAUGGGAUGACAUAUGAAGAAAUAAAGAAAAAUAUGCCCGAAGAAUAUGAGUCACGCAAAAAGGACAAGCUGAGGUAUAGAUACCCUAGAGGCGAAUCUUACCUUGAUGUCAUACAAAGGUUGGAACCAGUGAUUAUCGAGCUUGAAAGACAGCGAGCACCGGUAGUGGUGGUAUCCCACCAGACACAUUUUGGAACCCGACGGGGCUCCCUCAACGUCUCGUGACAAGGCCAAUGUGGGGGCAUCUUUGGGAGGUCAAAAUACAAGCUCGGGUCAACAUUUAUGGGGCUUUGAAGCCUUGACCAGCUGGGCAGUGGCUGCUCUACAAAAACAGCAUACUAGACAAAGGCUUUUCUACUAGUUCAUGGCUUGCAUGCCCAAAUGGGGCAGUACUGAGGGCGUUGUAUGCUUAUUUUGCUGAUAGGCCUUUGAAUGAAAUUCCACACAUAGAGAUGCCACUUCAUACAAUUAUAGAGAUACAAAUGGGGGUUACAGGAGUACAGGAGAAGAGAUACAAACUGAUGUAGGUCAUUGCAACUUGACUUGCUAAUUUGUAAAUGCAGCAAUUCUCUCAUUCUUCAAAUUGUAUCAACUGAUAUACCAAAAAUAUUGUAUAUUGACGAGAGUUUUGACAUUAAAGUGUAUCAUUUUAAAGGGAAUAAUCAUCUUCUUACUGCCCUCUCCAA